GGCAACUGCCCCAAAAGGGGGUGUCUUAGUUGCAUGAAAUAAUCUCAUUAAUCAUUGCCCCACUUUUUGUGGGUCUAGUAAUCGCGCUAGUUAAUCACUGGCUAGAUGAUUAGCAAUGAUUGAAACAGUUGCCCUUCUAGCUCCAACGCUGGAGUCGCAACAGUGAAAAG
rnacentral:ncRNA from 1 species